rnacentral:rRNA from 1 species
GAUGAACGCUAGCGGGAGGCCUAACACAUGCAAGCCGAGCGGUAGAGAUUCUUCGGGAUCUUGAGAGCGGCGUACGGGUGCGGAACACGUGUGCAACCUACCUUUAUCUGGAGGAUAGCCUUUCGAAAGGAAGAUUAAUACUCCAUAAUAUAUUGAUUGGCAUCGAUUGAUAUUGAAAGCUCCGGCGGAUAGAGAUGGGCACGCGCAAGAUUAGCUAGUUGGUGAAGUAACGGCUCACCAAGGCGAUGAUCUUUAGGGGCCUGAGAGGGUGAUCCCCCACACUGGUACUGAGACACGGACCAGACUCCUACGGAGGCAGCAGAGAGGAAUAUUGGUCAAUGGGUGCAAGCCUGAACCAGCCAUCCCGCGUGAAGGACGACUGCCUACUGGUUGUAAACUUCUUUUGUAUAGGGAUAAACCUACCCUCGUGAGGUAGCUGAAGGUACUAUACGAAUAAGCACCGGCUAACUCCGUGCCAGCAGCCGUCGG